GGGCAGAGGUGAGGACUAACUCGGAGGGUUUCCUGAGACAUCCCUGAUUUCAAAUAUCCUGUCCCGUUGUCGGACGGAGACGCCCUCCCCGCACUGUGGAGCACUGCGCACUCAGGCAUUUUCUAAAGGGUCUCAGAUUGAGUUGAAUAGAAGGGAUCGAGGGUUACCAAAUUCAGAUAGGUUGAUCCACCAGAUUGUCCCUGGGGUCACAAACGGCUUUUUGCGGGGUAGGGAGGGGCGCUGUAGACCUUGCCUUCCCAAGUCUUUGGGCUUGAGGAGGAAUGGACAGGGCCAAGGCCAAGGACUUUGAGUGAGCCGGGGAGAGGUGGGGGUAGGGUGGACUCAAGACCUACCAUUUUCAUCUCACCCAAUGAGACUGAAAGCCCAGCUCAGAAGUGUGAGGUGCCUUCAAGUCCUACUUCUCCCCAGAACCUCCCGUUCCCCCCGCCCCAUCUACCCUGAAAUCAAAGGAUCUUUUUUAGUUUCUUCAAGAAAAAUUCAGUUUCUCCAAAUCCACCUUUCUGCCCAAAGGAGUGGGCAAGCUACAUCUCUCUCCCUGUUCUAGACAGAGUCCUGGAUAAUCAGCGUCCUUCCUCUCCCACUCUGCCUUUCCUCCCCACUGAGGUCCUCCAAGUCUAGCGAGGAGAUCAAGCAGUGGCAUGAAAAGAGAGGAGGUGAAAAGCCAUUUCCCUUCAGUCUAACAGGUUCCUCGGAGCCUGGAGGAAGUAGAAUUAAUAAACUGAAAGUGAUUGCAACCAAUCUCUGCCGCACUCCCACCUUACCACCUGCCAAUCAUUCCUUUUAUUUAUUUUUUUCAGUCAUUCCUUUUAAUACCUGAGGACUUUUUACAAAAUGUAAAGUGAAUUGGCUAUUUCUUGAGGCAAACAAUAGGUGGCUCUGAAAUUAUAGGAUUUGUGUUAGUGUAAAUCCAUUAAGACGGAAAGUUUAUAAUCGUCCUCAUUUGCAUUGGUGACCCCAAUCCAACUAGUCUGCAGUUAAACCCUGAAUACGGCAAAGAAGUGAGGAGCAAGAAGACCGUUCUUCUCCACAGCUAGUCUUGAGUGGAACCAGAUCCUUCUCAAAUGAGAAAGACUGAACCCUUGGGGCUUGCUGUACAAAGAAGUGUAGUGGGCUGGAGGGGUGUAGGCAGAAAUGGGGUGCUCUGGGCUUAAGUACAGGAAGUCUCUGGGGACAUCACUGGGGGUAGGCCGCAUGGCCCAACAGAGAAAGCCGGGAACAGAGAGUUUGCACAGAGGUCUGGGGUGCCAGCAUGGACCAGGGAAGGAAUGAAUGGAUCUGGCAGGCGAGAAGCUGGACCACGAUGGAGCGCAGUUUAAUCUCUCCUUUCUUUGAUUUGUCCCCUGAAUUUGCAUACAGCCUGGCCACUCCAGCUAGACUGUUUGCCCCUCAGGAGCUGGGGCUCUUGUCUUAUUUUCUAUUCCUCAUAGCACUUAGCUCAGUGCCCGGCGCACGAGGUUGAAUUUUGUUUAAAACGAUUUGCCUUAGAUGGUAUAUUUGCAAACUCCUUCUUUCCAGAUCUCAGUUUAUUUUUUCCUGUAAUUUUAAAGGGAUUCUCUCAGACUCUCCGUAGGCUAAGGGAACUGAGCUCACAGUGCUUGAAGCUUCCUUCCAGAAUUCUCAGGAAAUGGAGCUUGUUGGCUUAGUGGGCUAUUUAAUUCUGUUUAGAAUUAACAUUGUCUAAUAAGAUAUGUGUAUGUACCCGGAGUGGGUAAAGUGCUAUACAAAUGAAAGAUGGUAUUAUUUGCCAUACGACAUCUUUGAUUAGAAUGGAUGAUUCUCUGCCAAACUCUGAAGGCCUAAAGCAAGGCAGGUUGCUGAAAGGGAAGGAAGUCUAAAUGGCAGAGCCAGAGUUUUACUAGACUUGCACAAUGGGGCCCUUAGCAUGGCAACAGGAAAGUGCCCUUCUGAGUUGGGGCUGAUGGGACAAGGCUUUGCCAAGGCUCAAGGCUCAUCUCUGGGCCCACACCCCACCCAAGGAAUGCUGUCUUUCUAGAAGCUGCACACCUGAGUUGGGUCAAACACUGGACUCCGCCAGCAUGGGAGCCACCUAGCGUGGCUUCACAUUAAUGAUCCAGAUUGUUGUUCUAGCAAUAGCCUUGCCUCGGGGUGUCCAUUAAGAAUGCUACUUACUAAUUUAAGGAGCCCAAGGUAGAGUACUUUGGGGUUUUCAAAAAAGAGGGAGCUGUGCUCCUAUCUUGGUGAAUUGGAAGAUGUCUCUCCUACAUGUCCCUGUCCCACACCUGCCCCCCUCCCCCUUCCUACCAUUGCAACUUCUGGCACAUAAGCCUUUCAAAGAAUAAAAAACAAAAGAAAAAAUGGAAAGCUUACUGCUUCGCAAUGUUUCCUGAUGUUAAGUGCACGUGUGCAUGCGGACACACACACACACACACACACACACACACGAGGUGUGAUUUUUGUGGCUACACUUUUGGGACAGUUACUUUAAAAAAUUUUUUUUAAUAUUUAAUUUUGAGAGAAAGACGGGGGGAGGGGGGCAGUGGGCGCAGAGGGAGAGGGAGAGAGAAUCCGAAGCAGGCUCCAGGCUCUGUCAGCACAGAGCCCAACGCGGGGCUCGAACUCACGAGCCAGGCAGGAGAUCAUGACCUGAGCCAAAGUUGGAUGCUUAACUGCCUGAGCCAUUCAGGUGCCCCGCGCAGUUACUUUUUAUAAACAGAUCGAGACAGCAGAGUUUCAACAUUUAUCAGUUUAUCACCAAUGCUGAGUGCAGAUUGUACCAACGUUUCCUUUGUUAGGGGCUCUGUCUGAGUUUUCUGGAUGCACCUGAGCCAGGAAGAGGCCGUUCUGAUAUGCACUCCAUUCUCCUCUCCCCUGGGCCAGAUGCACCUCCUCCUUCACCUCCUUCCACACUGAGCUGGGUGAUAGGCAGAUGAAGUACAGACCCUGCCUGGGACAACCCCCUUAUUUUACGGAUGAGGAAACUGAGGCCCAAAGAGGGAUCAUGCUCACCCAGUCCUGCAACCUCUCCACCUCGCCCUCCCACCUUCAUUUCUGAUGCUUUCCUGCGUGAAUGAUACCAACUUUGCCUCUCCCUGGCCCCACAUGCUGUGUUCCUCUUUUGAGAAUAUUUCUGAGUAGGUGGCCCAUCACCCUUCCAUAUUAGGCUCUUUCCCUCCCUCCAGACCCUCCUCACCCCACCGCUCUUGAGUAUCGUAAUGCCAGCACCCAUCUGUGUCCUUCCAUCCGUCCCAAACUCAGCAUGGUCAGCUUUAUCUUUCACCGUCUCGUAUCCACAGAAUGGGCCGCAACAGGGUCAUGCCGUAGAAAGAGAUCAGGGGAAGUGAUAAUUGACAAUUUACUAUUAGGAUUGUAUUGAACAAAAUUCUCUUCUAUUUUGACUAAUGACCAGAGAGACAACUUUGCCACUGUUUUGCUUGGAUACAAAAAACUGUAAAAAUGUUGUAUCAAAGCCUCAUGAGCAUCAUUCAAAUCUUCCCUGACCCAUUGCCUUCGUUUGAAAAGCUAGCAUUUCAUUAAAAACAGAGCUGUUGUGUGUGACACUUGACAGUACAUUCAUUUGUCAGGUGACUCUGUCACUUUGCAAACAACCGCUUGGAUGUCCUCCGCAGGCAGGCGCAUAACCUCUCCCUGGUAAUAGCACGGCAGCCCUGGAAGGAACUCGGGGCUCCACUUUACAAAUGAGGAAACUGACACCCAGCGAGGGGAAAGAACUUGCCUAGGGCCACUAACAAAUGCUAAAAGUGGGACUAGAAUGUAAGCCUUGUAACUCCCCUCAGGACCCUCCCCCACCUCCCCAAGCCCACCCCCAGCUUCUCACAAUGGUAGAACCAGGAUAUUGUCAAUGGAAAGGAUCUUGGAGGUCUUCUGGACACUUCUAAAUGCAGGAAAGGCUGGACUGUCCACGUGAAAACAAAGCCUACUACAUACACUGAGGCAUUUGUCAUCACCUCCUGGGCAGCUGCCUGAAUUAGAGCUGCAGGUCCCAGGAGGCGAGACUCUGCCCCAGAAGCAGGCUCAACAAAGCCCCUGCAAACACGAGGAAUAUACGCGUUACUUCCCUCCAGCUCAUCAGAGCUACUUGAGGGCAGGCACUGGGCAACCCGGCUUUGCCAUCACCCUCAGCAACCAGCUUUGAGGCUUCCUCAGCCAACAGGUGGUCACAGAAGCCCCCCAGCUGCUGGGUCAGUUGCCAGGACUUUGAGAUGUCGACAGAGAAAGAUAAAGACCAGGAAACCGUUUCUAACACAGUUGGCCCAGAGCAGAGAGUAAAUGCCAGGAACGGCCUGGAAGAGGCUAUAAAACGAGAAUAAAACAGGAUGAUAAUUUAUGAUGUGCAGUAAAAAGAUCUGGGGAAGCUGAGCAGCCAGUGAGAUUUCAUUUCCCUCUGCUCGGUGGCUCUUCAACCAUGCUGAGCAGUUCCCUGCCCAUCCAGGCAGCCCCCACAUUUUGGAGAGCCAGCCCCCGUCCCACAUGAAGGCAGCAAAGUAAGCCGCGGCUGUCAUCCAGGCCCCAUAGAGCCCUCACUAUACGGAUUCUUCCCUGCAAGGGCAUAAGCCCCCCCAGCCCCCAGGGCCCCCCAAACUCUUAUAAUAAAAUCCAUUUCCAUUGUAGGCCACCUUACACGUGGUGAAGCACCUUCCCACCCAUUAUCUCAUUUGAUCCUUAAAGAAACUCUUUGAAGAGCCUCCUAUAGAGAUAUUAAGAGAGGGGCUCAAGGUCACACAGCUAGUCAGUGGCAAAUCCAAGACCUGGAUGCGGGACUAUCUAUUUCAAGAUCAAAGUCUUCCUCAAACCCAGCCCCAUUCCCCCUGCCUGGAGCCGAUGACUUUGAAAUUCAAGGUAGAAGUGAAGGCUAGUCCCCAUUUCCAACCUCCCCUCCAUCCAGAAAGCCCCAGAGGCUGGGGCCCGGGCCCUGGCCAGAGGGCACCUGCUUUAACUGGCCCUUUGAGCCCCAAGGUGGAGUGGGGCAGUCCCAAAGGGAGGCCGGCAAAUCUCAUGUCAGGUACACCAGGCCUCACCCCAACCCCUUGACUGGGGCCACAUGCUGGUCAUUGAGUUUGUGGAGCCCAUGGGCUGCCCCUGCUCUGGGGUUUAGUGGGCUCUCCACGGGGGCUCGCCAGGUAUCCCAAGGGGCUAAGACAACCCCUUCCCCACUUACUGCCAGGCGUGAAGUGAUCGGUCUGCUGCAUGGAGAACACCUCUUGUCCUGUGCAGGGCGGUGGUGUGCCCCCUACCGCUCCCAAUCUACAACGUUCAAAGGCAAAGGCAGGCAGCAGCCAGUGAGAAUGUCCUGCCACAUCCUUCCAAGGGGGUUUGGAAGGUGUCUGAAUGUGGGGGAGGGGGGAGGUGCCUGGAAGGAGCGAGAGCACUGGACAUUGCUCGCAUUCCAGGGAUUCUUUCCUUGGGGUGACUUGGGGACCCUUUCCAGCUUGACAGAGGGGAAGGGGAAGAGUACAAGAGGGCCAGAGAUGUUAGAACUCUGGGGCUGGAGCCUGCUGCUGGUUCUACCGCUAAGCCACCGUGUAGCCGCAGACAAUUCGCCUCCCUGAAACUCACUUGCCUCUCCUUGCCCAUCUCAAAGCGCCCUUGGAAAGCUCCAAUCUCAGAGGCUGGAUAUGACAGGCCUUUAUAAAUCUCCAAGGUCCUUGAAUUGUAGGGUGCUGUAACUAUUGCUGGCCGAGCAAAGAGGUCACCAACAGGCAACGCUCUCGAGGCCAUUUCUGGCCUGUUGGUGCCACCGUAUCCCUGCCACAUCAGGGGCCUAUCCCUGUCCCCCUAGGCACUCCUAAAAUGAGGGAAAGCAAAUGAACUCCAUCAUAUCAGGCCAAGGUGGAGAAUCUGAGGGUCACAGAUCCCAGAAUAUCCCCCCCAAGACGAUCACACUCCCCACACGCAUCUUUUCUUUUUACUCCUCCUUCUUCCCGUGAUCCCACGGGGGACGGCACAGCCCUGCACUCACUCCACCCUGCUGAUCUACCUCAAGCUCACUGUCCCGAUUUCCACUCACCCUCAAGAACCGCUGUCUGCCCCCGCACCCGGCAUCCGGCUGUCUCUGCUUGAGGUUGCACAGCCCAGCAGCUGGCCGGAGGCCCAUCCCCGAGUUCUUGAAGACCGUCUGGUUACCAGGCGUGGCAGCAACUGCCCUGAGUCUCUCUCCAGUGGUGUAAUUUUCUGAUCCACCUCAAGAACCCCAAUUCUUCUACCUGACUCGUCGCCUCUGUUUAGCUCCGUGAACCCCUUGGAUCAGUUGACACUUAAAAGGACAAGUCUUGGUCAACUCAGAGCACAGAAUCUCAAAAGUGACUUUUCACGGGUGUGGCUGCCACCACCAGGGGCUCGAGCGCUAAUUUCCCCUUGCUCUCCAGGCACCCAGGUCCUCUCCUGCUGAACUCUUAGGUGUCUGACCUCCCCCCCCCCAACCACUAGGCCCCCAAGCUGCUGCUCUUUUUCUUUCUCUCUGUGACCUCCCCUUCCCCCCACAAAACUUCAAUUCCUACUGUGGGUUCACAUAGGCUACAUAACAGGUACAAAGGAAUCGAGUUUUAAAGUAAUUUAUAUGAGGUCUCUGGGCACCGCAAAGACUUCCGGAGGGAUAAAAAAACAUAAAAAAUGCAGUGGCCCCUUUGGCGAAGCUCCGCCGUGUUUAACAAACCCUGAGAAUGCUCACUGGCCUGCCAGCUUUCUCCUCCUUCCUUUGCAAAAAACACGAUCAAAGGAUGCCCGAUGCAGAACCCACCCAAACCCACUGAAGUCACACCUCCGCAGAGGCGCCGCGUCGUAAGAAACCCCCAAACUGUUUCUCGUUGGUCUGGGUAUAUUUCUCCAAACUCUCCAAGGGAAAAGGACAGAGGUUUCUGUGACCAAACCCCGAAGUGAGCACCCUGGGGUUUCCUGCCAGUCUGGUGAUUUGGCAUUCUGACAAGCUGUCCGUUCCUUUCCCUCCCCCUCGAGUUCUACAAACAAGACCACCCAGGGUCAUCCAGAUGCUCCCCCAGCCAGCUGCUGGGGCACCAGGCUGAUCCCCUUCCAGAAGAGAUGCCUUUCGAGAGCUACUGGCCUCCCUUCGGGGCCUCCGUGCCCUGCUCACAUCCAAGGGGUUCCAACAUCUGCUCCUUCACUGUCACGGGUGGACUGCGGCCUGGCUUGCUUGCUCCAAGUUAGCCGAGGCGGUUCCUCAGGGGUUGCCUUGUGGCUCAGGGUCACAGUGUGCUGGGUUCAGGGGGCCCCUGAUCCCAGUCCCCGUCCUCAUGGAGCUUACAAUCUGGUGAGGGACACAAGACACGCAGGAUGGGGAAAUCACGCAGGAUGCACCUGUAAGGGCCAGGUGCAAAGCCUUCCUGCCGGGACCUAGCCCAGCAGGCUGUCGCUCUACAAACCCUUCCCCCCAGACCUAGAGACAAACUUCAGUCUAGCCCGGAUCUGGGUUGUGGUGGGUUCCUAAUUAGUGGGGCCUGAAUUAAUGAGUCUUCCUCUUUUCGUUGACAAUGCAGGGAAGGCGCUUGCUGGAUGGAGCUGUUCCCCAGACAGGCCUGUCUGGCUCUUUUCCUUCCAGAGCCUACUUAGCCCCCUGCCCCUGCUUCUCUCAACCUCCCUCUGUUUGCGUUCAGCUUGACGUUUCUAUUGACGUAUUGAUCUCCGCUAGCCGAGGAGCGUUUCUGCUGAACACGCUCACUGCUCAUUCUGGGGGCCGGAGGGCAGAGCUGACCUCAGCUCUUCAAGUGCCGGGGCUCAAGGGGCAGGCCCGAUGGGGGUGCCGUGGACAGGGGCCUCUAGUCUGGGGCGGGGAGGAGCCUCUCUGGCAUCGGGAUGGAGAUCUUGAUGGGAAGCGGAGAGACAGUUGUUUGGAGGGACAGAGGCGGGCAAAGCUGCGGCCGCCCUCGGGGGAACGGAGACACCAGGUGGCACAGAGACGCAGAUCGACCUUGGAGUCUUUCUAUCCAGCUCCAGAACUGAGUGAACACGUGUCCCCAUCUGCAAAGGGAGGCUUUUUUCUCCUCGCUCUUUAUGCGUACUUAAGAGGAGGCUUCAAAUAAUAUAGGGUUGUCUUUUAAAACCUGUAACAAAGCACGCCAAAGGACUAAGUAAGUGUAAGCUAUGGUUCCUCGUCACCGCCACCCAAGGACCUAUGAGGUAGCCAGCUAGCCAAGCAGGGUCUUGAGGGUAUGGUCCUCUCUCUGACAUCUGGCCAGGAAGUAGCCACAGGUUCACAAAGCGGGUCCUUCAGGGGUCCAGGCGAGGCGCGUUUGUCUUUUGUAGUUCAAAGAGGCGUUCCAUAAAUGUUCUCCCUCGCUGUCCUCUCCUAACUGCCAGGGCUCCGUCCCAUCAUCCGUGUCGUGGAAUUUGGAGUCACCCUGGCAGGUCUCUGGUUUCUGCACGUACCCCACACCAAAGGCAACAUUCAGGCUGGUGAGUGGGGGACGUGCAGGGGGGACCAAAAGGGAGCUACUUCUUUGUCGUUAACUGGUCUUUGCUCCCUCGAAACAUUUCCUUUUUCCAUUUUUUUCCUGCCUGCUCAUAUGGACCUUACCCCCAACACACACCAUAGUCUCUCCACUCAAGGGGGAAUCAUCUGGCCCUGAGUGGGAUGGUGUGAGCCAUUCCUUGGUGAUAAGAGUGAUGUAAGGAGACAUUACAUUAAUUCUGGCAUCAUGGAACAUUCGUGCAUACAACCCAGCAGGCUAUUAGCAGAUUGCUUGUCAGGAAAUGCAUGUUCUCAUCUUAGUGGAGUGGGAAAAAGGCAGGGCCCAGGGCCCACUUCCAGCUCUGCUACCAUGAGUGGGUGAGCAGUUACAUGCUGCAUCCAAGCUUUGGCUUCCUCCAGGUUGCAUUCCAGAACUUUCCCCGAGUCUCUUCUUUGGCUCAGACAUUCUAAGCUUUAAGAGCACCGGGAACCCCUUUUUUUUUUUAAUUUUUUCAAUGUUUGUUUUAUUUUUGAAGGAGAGGGAGACGGAGCAUGAGCGGGGGAAGAGCAGAGAGAGAGGGAGACACAGAAUCCGAAGCAGGCUCCGGGCUCUGAGCUCUCAGCACAGAGCCCGACACAGGGCUUGAACUCACAAACCGUGAGAUCAUGACCUGAGCCGAAGUCGGACGCUCAACCGACUGAGCCACCCAGGUGCCCCCGGGAACCCAUUCUCAUAUUUCAGAUAAACUCCGUGAAGAAUCACUUCGUCAGAAUGACCCACAGAAUGACCCACGCAGCCCCCUGAGUGGGCAGGGUCGGAAAGAAAUCUGAGUGUAUCUACACUGUAUCCCUGUCAUAGCCCUGCACCGUCACCUGCAGGCAGCCAUCCCCGAGAGCCAGGUGCAAGCCUAGAUGCUUCUGGUCACCCUCUGCUUCCUGGUGGCCUCCACCCCUGGUCUUGUAGAAUGAGCUGGGCUUUUUCCACACACUGGCACCCAUCAGGCACAUAGCUACCCACUGUACCCCUUGCCCCUUCUCCAUGUGAAAUGUCCUCAGGGUAACCUGAUGCAGCCACUUGGGAAGGAGGCCUCCCCAUGUGGCACUGUUGAGGCCCCCAACAUCCGGGUGCUCAUUGUCUCUGAACGCUCAGCUCCCACUGGCGUUUAGUGUGAAGUGGCUCAAGAACCCAAGGGCGGCGCAUCUGAUCAGCAAAGGGACAGGAAAGCCAGCCAUCCCAUUCUUCACCCACCACCUGCCCCACCCUGACACUCAGGCCCCUCACCCAUGCGCCCCAGCCUCUCCUUCCCAGGCCUGGCCCAGCGACCUCUCUGGGCCCUCUCGCACCCUGACCCACGGCACACCCCCACCUGCAAGAGAAGCCCUUAUUGGACAUGAACGAUGCCACCACUGAAGCGACGAGGACUAAGACUUCUGCAGAGGACAGACCUGUCCACAGUUAAACAUGACAGAAUGUGGUAGGAUUCCUCAGGGGGACAGACUGGUCCGUAGGCACACAGAGGCCGGCGGGUUCAGGAGGGAGCACACGGGAAGGUGGUGCUUGAGCUGGGUAGAAGCGGUAGGGUGCGCAGUGUGGGCCCCACGGACUGGCUCGGCCCAAGUGGGGCCUAGGGAGAGGGUCAGCCACAAAGUGGGAGAGGAGCAGAACACACACCACUUUUUUUGACGUUCAGAUGCUUGUGCUGCUCUCCUUGUGGGCCCUUCUUCCUUCCCCGGGGACCUGAAGUUGCCAUGGCAACAAAGCUCCAUUGCAGCUGCUGGGGACCAGCAGUAGGAAAUGGGGGCUCAGUGAGCUCAGGGUGGAAACCUCCCCCUACCCGGAGGUGUUACUGCAGGCCUAGGGGUGGGGGAGGGAAUGUAUGCGAGCGAGCGAGAGAGCGAGCGAGCGAACCAGUCCGGGGUCGGGAAGAUGGCUAAAGGAGAGACCUUCUGGUGGAGGGGAUAGAAAGGAUAAACAUCCACAAGAGUGGAAAUGGGGCUUUCUCCCCUGCUCCACGUCCCCAGGACCCAGUGGGACGCCAUGUUUGAGAACACCAAUCACCCACCGCAAGAGCUGCAGGGGAACACAGUGCCAAACCCCCCGCCUGACCCCAUAGGUGACGCAAGCUGAGCUCUACCUCUGGAAGCGAACAGGCUUCUUUGCCUCUGCAAGGAGGGCAGAGUUCCAAACCUCUUCCAGCAGUCCCCAAAUUGUCAUUGGCUGCCCCUCUCACCAAUGUCCAUCUUGACCUCCCGACCUGCGUCCUGAUCCCAUCUGAGGCAUCCACGGCAUCCACGUGCAGCAAAGAGUCAGGGUCUUGAAGUUCUUCUGAGGAACGACUUAGGGCAGAAGAGGGAGAAGUACUAUGUGACCUGAUGUGGCCCUGAGCUGUGGCCACGGCUAAAGGUUGGGGAGGACGGUGGUCCUGUACCACCAGUGGGGCUCCAUGAGGGUGGCCUAUACCCCCUGUGGCAGCUUCCCCUCCCUGAGGAGGAGUGUGAUGGGGUGAUGGAGAGGGCUGGAUUGGGGGUAUGGCGUGUGGUGACGUAUGGAGGUGUAUCUGUGGUUGAAAGGCACCCGGGAGAAGGCCUUGCAGCGGGACCCCCGGCACGGAGGUGGGACCAACGGAAGAGCCCUCCUUCCUGUUCACGACCCCAGUCGUGUUUCUCCUCAGCCUCCCUAGCCGUGCAUUUGAAGAUUUCCUUCCUCUGAAGGGUGAAAACCUAGCUGGGUUGCCCCAUUAGGAUCCCACCAAGAUGCAGCGCCCUCGGGUUAGUGAGACUCAAGUGUUUCCUUGUUCAGUAUAAGUACAAGAAGCCACAUCAUCCUGCAUGUGGAAAGGGCGUUCUCAGCCAUUCCUCAGACCCUCCGAGUCCCCAGUCCCCACCUAGAUGAUUCCAUCUCCUCCCCUGGCUCCCUCAUCCAUCCCAACCCUUACCCCAGAAGUGGGGAAGGCCACCUGGUGACUAACUUUCCAUUCUCUUACUGGGGUCCUGCCAGCAAUUCUUAGGAGCUUCUGCCUGAAUCCCAGCUUGGAUGAACGAUCCACUCAUGUGUCCCCAAAUUAUUGUUCUGCCUCUGAAGUUGGUCAGAUUUUGAUUUCUGAGGCCCGGCUGUGAGGAGUGUGCCCACCUCCUGCUUCUAUCCUUUCAAGCUUUUGUUCUCAAGACCUUCCCUAAGCUAACUGAUACUUGCAGAGGAAGGUUGAACAGGGUCAGGGCCCUUAACACAGAUCUACAGGAAGCAGUGAGGGGCACCGUGUGGGGUGGGAACUGGAGAAAAGAGUCUGUGGUUGAGCCAGGCCUCCCCCCACAGGGGCAGGGGGGGUGUCUCCCCUCACCCCAGGACUACUGCUGACCCCUCUGUCCUGCUCCCUUGUCAUUUCCUCCGUGUCGCCUCUCCGUCACCCCAUCUCUACCUCUUCCUUCCAAUGAUUCUUUUCAGCUUCAACUCGCGUUGCUCUCCCUCUCAUGCUCCGAGCGCUUCCCAGGUCAACCCUCCGAGAAGCCGGACCCAUUUGCUCUGUGUCGUCCCUUCUCCCCGGCCACAUCUCAAGUUGACUUUCCUCGAUGGUCUGCCCAUAAGUCAGCUGGGACCAGGCAUGGUGCACGGGACUCUGGCGCUCUCUGGGGUCGGACAGUUGUCUUUUGAAGGAACCAUGAGCGUGACACAGCUGUAACCGGCAGGUCUACGAAAAUUCCAUGAAUCUGACAGAUGCUCACCGAGCGCCUAUCACAUGCCGGGUGCCGUUCUAGGCCUCGGGUAUGCCAUGAGGUCAGAGCCCAGCCCGGCCUCUACCAUUCUUUCGCCAGCGCUCUGGAGUCUGGCAGGCUCUUCCCUAAGAGAUAAGAGAUGGGGGGGGGGGGGGGUGUCUGGAGAACACAGAAUCUUAUGGGGGACCCAGCAGAGGCCCAAGAACUUUUCCGGCCCCCGCUGUUCAUUGAGGACAAGGAAACGGCUGUGCAGAGAGGUGAUCUAGAUAGCCAAGCGUUCCUGGGUGGGGAGCUGGGACCGCAGGGCCUGUGUCCGUCUUCAUUUCCGGGAAACGUCCACCAUGUUUCUCCCUCGACUUGGAGGGAGAGGGGGGGAAGUCCUGAGCUCCUGAUUCUGCAAUUCUUCUGCCCUUGCAUCUUCUCCCUUUCUCCCUCCCACCCUCCAGGCCUCAGCCAACAUGAGUAGGCACAGAGUGGGGGUGGGGGAGACACUUGAGAACCCACCUGCUGAGGAGCCCAGAACCAGCCCUCGGCCCUCUGAGAAGCCAGAUGGGCUACCUCCCUGAUGUUUCAGACUCCUCUGCUGUCGGCUCUGGGGCCACUUUCUGUCACCCCGUGUUGAUGACCGAGCUUGAGCCCUGAGGCAGGUGUGCUAAAACAGGACCCCGUUGCACUGACGCCUUGCACUAGAGAUGCACUAGGCUUCCUAAGGUCACAUGGGAUGUAAGUGGAAAUGCUUCCGGGGGGAAUCCAGUCGCUUCUUUCUAAGCCCCAAAUCGUGGGUCUGGCGUCAGCCCAGGAAACUCCCUCCGCGUUGCUGCCUUCUGUGCUUCCAUUCCAAGUCGUCUUUCUGUGCUCUGCUCCUUAAAACUGCCCCUGUCCUUACCCUGCAGCAGAGGUGUCCCUUGUCCCCUCCCCGUCCCUCCCACCUUCCCCACCACUCCGCAAUCACCUCCUGUCCUCCUUACUACCUUGGUCCAGCCACACCCACCAUCCCCAGGAUGGACCAACUGGAAGAGAUGGAGAAAGAACGAGAAGGAGGGUUGUCCUGACUGCAUCCAGCUGAGAUAGGGAGGCCCAGGUCUGGGUUCCCAGCCCAGACAGCACCAGGAGACUCUCCUGGAAACUCAUAUACCCGGGGAGGCGGGGGAGGGCCACCUCCCAGGGAGCUCGGUCAGUAAGUCUGGGCAGGGCCCACAUCUUCAAGCUUGACUGUCUAAAUAGGCAAGCCCCCCUGUCAUCCCACUGGCAGUUUCCAAAGGGGGAAAGAGAGAGAGAGAGAGAAGAGAGAAAUUGCAUUAGGGAACAGUUGCCUAUAACUGUUACCAAACUUUUGCAAACCAAGAAACAACAAAGAAGUAAAAGCAGUAGAUAAUUAAGUACAUAAUUGUACACACCACUCGUUAAUUAAGCUUUUACUCCUCAAACCUGACAGAAUCUGCUCAUAAGGUGAUAGCGAGAGGGAAUGCGGCAUAUGGCAAGCCAUCUGCAAUACCAACGCCUUGUCGAUGAAAACCUCGCUGGCCCACAAAAAGAAGGAGAUGCUAAAUGUAGUUUUCCGGCGCAGAGCGAUUUAUCUUCAUUCCGGGCAGAAAAGGAGUUGACGGUACUGAGCGAAGAUGAACGAGCGUCACGAAGAGACGAGGGGUUCCGUCUGUGACAGUGACGGUGGCGCCGCCCCCUCCGCACGCGCCCCGCCCCCCCUCCCCCCAGCUGUUGGGUGGCCGCGUCCUGGGGGCCCCUUUGGUGGCUUGACUGUCUGAGUGCCUGUGCCUUAAGGGCGCAGGAAGCGGGGGAAGCGAGGUGGUGUGGCCGGGGCUGGGGUGGGCUCCCCUCUGAAAUGCUCCCCGCUCUGCGCUUGUGCAGGGGUCAAAGACCCCCGGAAGCCCGGAGAGGAGUGACAUAAUGGGGGGACACUGACGGUCCCCUUGUUUCUCAGCAGUCAGUCCACUGCCUGUCAUUCCACCUUGGGAGCUUCUGGUCUCAAGGGUCCUUAACCUGUUGGAGCCUACUUCCUCAACUGUAAAAUGGAGAUAAAUUACCUACCUGGGCAGCUGCCCUGGGCACGUAAGACCUGGGAAGACAAUGCAAAAAGUGUAUUAAACCCUGGGAAGCUUA